CCAGCCGUGGAUUGGCCCGCGGCAGGACCCGUCGGUCGCAGUUGUGUCUGGGAAGGAGAGAAAAUGGCGGCGGAGCCGAGCAAGACCGAAAUCCAGACUCUUUUUAAGAGGCUUCGGGCAAUUCCAACCAACAAGGCCUGUUUCGACUGCGGCGCCAAGAAUCCGAGUUGGGCCAGCAUCACGUAUGGUGUUUUCUUGUGCAUUGACUGCUCUGGGGUGCACCGCUCCCUGGGCGUCCAUCUCAGCUUCAUCAGGUCUACAGAGUUGGAUUCCAACUGGAGCUGGUUCCAGCUGAGGUGUAUGCAGGUCGGCGGGAAUGCCAAUGCGACUGCUUUUUUCCGUCAACAUGGAUGCACGGCCAGUGAUGCCAACACCAAAUAUAACAGCCGAGCCGCCCAGAUGUACCGGGAGAAGAUCGCAGCUGGGGGCGAGCUGUCUAGGAUGGCACCCAGAUGUAACCUUUGGAUAGACAAUAUGAGUAGUGCUCCUAGUCACCUCCGGAGAAGAAGGACUCUGAUUUCUUCACAGAACAUACUCAAACUGGCCUUGCAGUCUUCAUUUUGGUUCGGGACUUUGACUGGUCUCUUGUGCUCAGUUAG